UAAAACAUUUUAUUAGCAUAUAUCAAUUACACAUAAUGAUGGGUGUCAUUAUGGCAUUUCAUGCAUGUGCAUAAUGAAUGUAUUUCGGUUAUAUUUUCCCCCAUUGUUCUCUCAGCUCAUUAUCGUUCCUGCUAAGCCCCUUAUUUCCAAUAUGCGCUGUUCUUAUGCAUGGCCAAACUACCUCUCUCUUUCUAGUUGGUUCUUUCUAAAUAAGCUCCUCUCUGCCUUAAUGAUACAUAUAUUCCAUUACUCUCCCUGUAGGUCUCUUCCUACCCAUCAUUGUCCCUUUCCUUCUUCUAUGUCAUACACACACACACACACACACACACACACACACACACACACACACACACACACAUCUGUUGGUGGGAGUCUAUAGGUGAAUAUGCAGGUGUGACCUUGCAGCCAACCUACCUGGCACACUGUGCUUAUAAAUGAGAAUCAUGUUCUUGAGUUAUCCCAGAAGUUAGACCGCUGGAUUUUGAAGUAGUAUGAAUAGUGAGCUGGUAAUGGCCUGCUGAGGUCUGUACCUUCCAUGUCUUUUAUGUGCUUCUUCUACAUACCCUGGUGAUAUGAGUACUCACUGUGCAGUUCGAGGUAAUGUGAUAACCAAUCACUGCUAGUAGGCUUCCACUAUAUAAGCAGUUGUUUACAUGCAAUAAAGCAGAAGCCAUUCCCUGAAACCACCUCUAUCCAGAGUGGUUCAUCUCUGCACCCUUUACGGACCCACGAGUAUUGCUGUCUUAUUGGAGAACACCCUGUACUGUUGGCAGAUGUCUAGGCUAGUUCCAUGUCGUGGCUGUUGCUGCAUAUCUUGGCUGCAGUGAACAUGGAUGUGGGGGCCCUUCUGAAAGAUGACUUAGAAUCCUUCAGGUAUAUACCCAAGAAUGGUAUAGCUGGAACAUACAGCAUUUCUAUUUUUAGUUUUUGAUAAAUACAUGCUGAUUUUCAUAGUGGAUGCUUUUGACAACUGUAUACAAGGGUCCUUCUUCCCCCACAUCCUCAUCAGUGGGUUUGUUGUUGUUUGGUUGGUUGGUUUUGGCUUCUUGUUCAUUUGCCAUUGGCAUUCUUAAUGAUAGCCAUUCUGACUGGAGUGUGAUCUUAGUAGGCUUUCAAGGCUCAUCAGUUCUGUGGCCUGUGUGUCUCCUUUUCUUAUUGUCUAGGUGAUAUCUCUCUGUAUGGAUAUAUUGUAUUUUGCUUACCUGUCAAUCACUUGGUAGGCAUUUGAGCUAUUUCCACUCUGGGGUUAUUCUGAGUUAUGUUGAUACAAACAUGAAUGCCCAUGUUUCUGUGUGAGGUACAUUUUCAUCUCUGUACAGGAAUGACCAUCACCCCUACUACCACCCCAAAGGCUAAUAUGCUCUAGGCUUGGUCCAUAGUGUUGUGUACAGAGGUUGUGUUUUCAAGAAGUGACUGGACCAUGAGGGUGGUGACCUAAUCAAUGGAUUAAUUAAGUGAUAGUUUUAUAAUUGAUCAACUACUGGUUAUUGUGGAAAGGGUGGAGCCUGAAUGGAGGAGUGAGUCAUUGGCAUGGACUUUCUAAAGGGUAAAUCUUUCUCUUCUUGAGAGGGUAUUUUACUGUGUAACAGCUUUGACUACACUUGCUGUGUAGACCAGACUAGCAUUGAAUUAAUAAGAGAUCCACUUGCCUUUGCCUCCUGAGUGCUGGGAUUAAAGGUGUACCCCUCCCAUAUUCAACCUAUUUUUUUAAAUUUUUUUUUUUUGAGGCAUGAACAGUCUUUAUUGGGCUCACACAGAGUCCAUUGGCUUUGAAGACCUCAGCGAACUUGCUUUUUUUCUCUCUAUGUUUUUUUACUGACUUUCUGAGCCCCAUGAGCUACUGAUUCUUCUGGCAGUGUAUAUGUUCUCCUUAGCCUAUUCCUCUCUGAGUGUCUCUGCUUCUGGGGAGUACCAUGAGAUAAGCAGCCCCCUCCUCCAUGUUCUUCUGCCACCAUGACAGGACUUGCCUCUGGACAAAGGCAGUGGGGCCAGGGGGACCAUGGGCGAAACCUCUGGCCACAUGAACCCAGUAUCCCUUCUAUCCUCUUACGUUGAUUCCCUCUCUCAAGAAUUUUGUCCCAUUGAUGAAACAAUGCCUCACCGUUCAUUCAAUUAGAACAUGUCACAGAUAGGAAUGAUAAUAUAUGUGGCAAGGCUUUCCCGAAGACCACACUAGCACCUCUUCUCAGCAGUAGACAGACUCAUGAGGUUAAUUAAUGGGAAGGUAAACUCACCAGGAAUAAGACUUCGGUUCCCACGGAGCAGAGAACUCUAGGCUCUACCACUUAGCUACAUUGCCCUAGGGUGCAGAGCCUUAGAAGCACACUGCUGCAUUUUGAGACACCUCCAUAGACUUCCUGUCUGAUCCCUGCAUGUGCCCCGGAGGGCUAUAACUUAAUUAGAUCAAACUGUAAGCUGAGCCUCUCUUUUCUCCCCUUCAAUUGAAACAAGAGGAAAGAGGGAAAAAGAAAAAAAGCACCAUUCUGCCCCAAGUGUGCUUUGGGAAAUUUGAAGGAGGCAAAUGUAGCUGACUGGGAGCAAUUGUCUGGUUACUCUCUGAACUUUGCAGUUUCCUUCUAGCUUUGUGUGAAUCUUGGGACAGGGAACACCUUCAAGGUACGGUGUUUCUGAGCAGUUUUGCAACCUGCUCAGAGAAGUCCUCAUGGAAGAGUGAUCCAGGCCAGUCCCCAGAUCUCCUGCCCACCCCCCCUGACAUUUCAGGACCCCUGGUAAAAGCAUCCCAUCUCAAAUCUCAGUAAAGGGUGACCACGGAGAGUUAGGUGUUGUGUGUACAUCCUUUGGAGGCUUCUGUGCCAGCGAACAUGGCCUUAAGAUGCUCACAUCACACCUGCCCUGACCACCUCCACUCUCUCCUUCUUUGCUCUUUCCCCUUUCUCCCUUGUCUCAGGUUAGAGUCCUCGAACACAGACACUGAGAUGGAGACUUGUGUGCAAGGGAUAUAUGGAGAAGCGCUCCCGGAAAAACAUGGUUGGAGAGAGAGAGAGAGAGACAGAAGAGGCAGCAGGACACAUUAGGCAGAGCCACCGAAAAAAGCCUCUGCUGAACGCUACAAAGGCUCUGGAGGGUACAGCCCACAGCAGAGAUGCCCCACUCCACUCCAGGCCACGGAGAGGAGAGCACUGGUAUAGUCAUGUUCCAUCCAGCAUGGGUUCUUUAAAAUGCUCAAUUCUACUAUGGUGUGCAAUGAAGAAGGACCCAGUUUUGUUUUCAUCGAGCUGUGUGUGGAAGGCACGCUAUUACCGUCACCGAGGGAGAUGACAUCUCCAGUGAGCAUCACUGCCUUGCUUAAUGCCUCUUGUUACCAUCAGUCCUCACAGAAGGGACUCACAUCUGGAGAGGCAUUCGGAUCACUCCUAUGGUCUUUGAUAUUCUCAGCAUGGAGCGUGCACAUCUACAGGUCUUGGAUAUGGUGAGAAAGCACAGCACGGGCUCUGUGUGCAGACAUGCUUGUUAACUCCUUUAAAGUUAGAGCCCUCGACUUCCUUUCCUUCUUGAACAGCCAGAGCCUGGCGGUCUUACUCUCUGUUAUCUCUUGUUUUUGUUUGUUUUGGUUUGCUAGGGCAAGUAGGUUACUUCCUCGUGGAAUUUCCAGUGUUUGGAGUUGGAGAAUUCUCUCCUUCCUUCUUCUGUGGGCAGUGCCUUCUUUCCCCAUCCCUUUCCUUCACUCAUGCCCAGCAAAGCUGGAUGCUUUUGUCCCAGAGAGAACCAAGUGGUGGAUUCCAGCACACCCAACUAAAAGCUGUGAGCAGAACACCAUGACAUGUUUCUCAGCCCAUAGGUCAUAUUUUUGGCAAAUGGCUGCAUCCUGUUAACUGUCAUUCCCAUGGUGUUCUGCCUUUCCUUUCGUCUGACACAUGACUUUUCCUGGCUUUGGAAUGGUCCAUAUUGAUUAAAAUGGAAGGAAAACCAGUCACUCUCUACACUGAAAGUGGAGGCGACACAUUGCCAUCCCUGUGGGCAUUUCUCAGGAGAGAUAACUGGGCUAGGAUGGAGGUGACUCGGGAGGAAGGCUGUGUGAGAUUCUCUCCGGAGACAACUCAUUAUAAAGACUUCCAUUUUGGGGGCUACAAUAAUAAAUAAAACGACCCUACUUUAGCUCACAAAGUCUGUUGAACUCAAUUUUUGGACAUAGUGAAUGAACCUUCAGUUAAACAUCACUGUGGAUAAUACAGUGCAGGCACUGGGUGUUUUGGAGGGGAGGCCAAAUAUCAUUCUCUAAUUGUGUAAUAAACACAGACCAAAAGCAACUAAGUGGGGGGGGGUGCUUAUUCCAGCAUAGAGGUUACAUUUCAUCAUUGAGGGACGCCAAGGUAGGAAUGGAGUUUGAGGCAGGGACUUGAAGCAGAGUCCCUAGGCUCAUGUCCAUCUGCCUUUCUUCCACAUGUAUGUAUGGCCAUAUGCACAGAGGCGCUGCUAUCCACAGUGGGACGUGCCCUCCUAAGCUAAUUAGCAACCAAGAAAAUGCCUCACGGACUUGCCUGUCUUCCAAUCGGAUGGAGACAAUUGAAGUUUCCUCUUCCCAAGUGUGCCAAGCGGACAGCAAAGACUACCCAUCACAAAGCAUGACUGUGUGUAGCUUUCUGCUGUUCUGUCCUUCCUACUCCCUCUCUCUGCCUGCGUGUUUGUCUAUAAACUCUUUAUCCAUUCUCUCUCCAUCUUUCACCUGUCUGCCCCCUUCUGUUUUGCUGCUAUUCUCUAUUCUCUCAGUUUCCCUGUUGGAGCAAUACAGCACUCUGACCAAAGUAACUUAAGGACAAAAUCUCUUUCAUCUCACAGGCUCAUAUAGCCCACCAUGGUGUGGAUGCCCUGGCAGCAGGAGAUUGAAGCAGUUGGUUGUAUGAAGAGUUACAAGGAGUCAUGCUCAAUGGAGUCUCUCCAGUUUCUACAAUCAGGAUUGCCAGCCCAGAGAAUGGUGCCACCCACAGUGAUACAGAACUGUGGACACCUGCAUCCCUUCCUUUCCCUCCAGGACCUGUGGAUGGCUGGAGAGAUUAUUUUAUAGUACAUUCAAGACUUCUCACAUGCUAAUAAACACAGGAAUGACAUGGUUUUGAGAACACAGCUGUCCCAGAACAGGUGCAAGAAAAGCUACAGUCAAGGAUGCAUUCCAAUGUUGACUCAUCUCUUCCAGACACCUAUGUAAGCUAACAGGCUACGGAGAACUUCUGUUUCCACAAUCUCAGCACUAAGAAGCUGCUGUCUCUCCUCAUCAUCAAGGCUGCUCUGUGGAUCCUAUCUGUGGCAGUGCCAGGAAGCUUUUGGCAGGCCUUUUGCCCAGGAGCGUUCCAGGCUGUCUGUCUGAAGUCCAUGGGGUGAAGUGGUGAGACCACCUGGUCAGAGGCAGCCUGCUGGGCCUCAGCGUGGAAUCCUGGCUUCCCUCUAUCAUGUUUACAGAGCCGUGUCUGUCUGCUCAGCCUCCUAUGAGAUGAGAAUACCAGGCAGUCCUUAGUCACUCAGCAGUGAGUUCUGGUAAUUUUCCUCUGGGAGAAAGAGGGCUGGUUGCCAGCCUUAGAUUGUGUUCCCUCUGCUAUCCUCUCUGCUGUCAGCUGAUGAAAUAGGACUUUUGAUUUCCUCUUCUGUAUAUUCUCUGACACAGAGGCACUGGGGAAAGCAGGCUAGAGACUGCUACUAUGUUAGGGCUGCUGAGAAAUAUUCACAGAAAAAAAAAGAGUUAGACUCACUAGAUACUGAGAACACAGGCACACAAAUAUACUAAUGCUUAUGAAGAUGUUUUGCAUAUGUGCAUUUGUGUAGUCUUCUCCCCAAAGGAUUGCAAUGGUUAGGAAGAAAAGAGUAACAGCUCCUCCUUGUUAUCUUUAUUUUUCUGUAUCAAAAACAACAACAUCAUGGAGAUCAUGGGGAGAAAAAAGAUUGUGACCUCAAAUGUUUUCUCCUACACAUUUGCAGGGCUAGGCUUUAUAAGUAACCUGAGAUUUUCAUCUUUUAAAACAGACUAUCAAAUAAAUUUAAUCAAUCUUUUAUUUA